rnacentral:pre_miRNA from 1 species
GUAGUACUCCCUCCGUCCCAAAAUUCGUGUCUUACAUUUGUUUAGAUACGGAUGUAUCUAACACUAAAAUGUAACUAGAUACAUCCGUAUUUAGACAAAUUUAAGACAAGAAUUUUGGGACGGAGGGAGUACAAA